AACGAACGCUGGCGGCAUGCCUAACACAUGCAAGUCGAACGAGACCUUCGGGUCUAGUGGCGCACGGGUGCGUAACGCGUGGGAACCUGCCCUUAGGUUCGGAAUAACUCCCCGAAAGGGGUGCUAAUACCGGAUAAUGUCUUCGGACCAAAGAUUUAUCGCCUUUGGAUGGGCCCGCGUUGGAUUAGCUUGUUGGUAGGGUAAAAGCCUACCAAGGCGACGAUCCAUAGCUGGUCUGAGAGGAUGAUCAGCCACACUGGGACUGAGACACGGCCCAGACUCCUACGGGAGGCAGCAGUGGGGAAUAUUGGACAAUGGGCGGAAGCCUGAUCCAGCAAUGCCGCGUGAGUGAUGAAGGCCUUAGGGUUGUAAAGCUCUUUUACCCGGGAUGAUAAUGACAGUACCGGGAGAAUAAGCUCCGGCUAACUCCGUG
rnacentral:rRNA from 1 species